rnacentral:rRNA from 1 species
GACGAACCGUCCAAACGUUAUUCGGAAUCACUGGGCUUAAAGGGUGCGUAGGCGGUCCGGGAAGUUGGGUGUGAAAGCCCUCGGCUCAACCGAGGAACUGCGUCCAAAACUGCCGGACUUGAGGGAGACAUAGGUGAGCGGAACUUAGGGUGGAGCGGUGAAAUGCGUUGAGAUCCUAAGGAACACCAGUAGCGAAAGCGGCUCACUGGGUCUCUUCUGACGCUGAUGCACGAAAGCUAGGGGAGCGAAGAGG